rnacentral:misc_RNA from 1 species
AAGUCGUAACAAGGUUUCCGUAGGUGAACCUGCGGAAGGAUCAUUAACAACAUAUCCUAACUAAAAAACCCUGUGAACUUUCAAUGUCCCGAACCUUUGAUCCGAGGACUUCAGCAAUCUCUGGUAAAUCAUAGUGAACAGCUUUUGAUUCAGAGACCUCUGGGAAGGGUGUACGGUAGUGCGAGGCAAUUGACCUGGCAUUCCUCUGCUUGUUAGUGUCUGAAAGUGUCACUAGCUAUGUACGGAUGGCGCAGUAACGAUCGCUGGAGGCCGACACGGCCGGCGACCAGGUCACUGGGCUACGGCCCCCCUGAUCACAACCUUUGCAUGAAAACGGGCCUGCGCUGAGGUGCGGCCACCCCUAAUGCUUGAACAACUGUUAACAAUGGAUAUCUUGGUUCUC